GCUGAUUCUGCUGGAGCUGCAGCACAGCUGUGUGUUUGAGGGUCCUCCAGGAAGUCUGUUCUUGACAGGCAACCUCACAGCUCUUGAGGAGAGGAAGUACUAUGAAGCUGGGGUUCUAAUUGGCUGGUCGCUGGCUCAGGGUGGGCCUGGACCCUGUUGCCUUCACCCUGCGCUGUAUCAGGUGAUGUGUCGCCAGAGUAUAACAUUAGAAGACUUCAACUGGCGGGACAUUAUUGAUACUGAAGUCCAAAUCCAACUGAAAGAGCUGCAUAGUUGUACUGAUGUGAAACUGCUGUCUCCCAGUCUGUGCGACUGGGUGUCACGCUGCGGGAUCCCUGACAUCUGUUCAGCUCGCUCUGAUGAAAUACCAGCCAUUUAUAGUCACCUGGUAAAACACUACAUCUACGACAGGUAGUGCACACACAAAUGCGUACAUCAUACACGUGGGGUUGACCGUUUUCAACUUAAAUAAAUACAAAAGUUUAAUAUAAUCCACUUGCUGUCCUUCAGGGUGACUAACAUGAUCUCCCAGUUUACUGAGGGGCUGAAUAGCUGUGGUAGGCUGUGGGACAUGGUUCAGUUCUACUGGAAAAUAUUUGCCCCAGUUAUGACGAAUGCACCGCGGCAGCAUCUGACUUUAGAAGAGUUCAAGCAGCUUUUUACCAUCAACUUUAGCUGUUCAGACUCCCAGCUGAGGGCAGAUGAGGAGGCCACAGCUGGACACUGGGAAACAAUCCUCACAUUAGUCAGCGACAGCAAGGCAGAGUUUUCCUUUGAAGACCUCCUCACCUUCAUCACUGGAGCUGACCGUUUGCCUCCUCUCAGCUUCCCCAGAUUAAUCUCUCUGUGUUUUUACUCCCAGGUUGGUGUUUAAUGUAUAAAUCCUUAAAAUACUCCCUCGGCUCGUGAUUCAGAUUCACAAGAAUCACCACCAUCAUCAGUUAUCCAGUCUUAGCAACUGACAGGAUGCUCUUUUCUCCUGUCAAGAGAUGAAUGUUUGUCACAUUUCCCUCACUGUAUUCAUUUUCUAGGAUGCCAGUAUGCCAGAUGUGCAUCUGCCUCAUGCCUCCACCUCUUCUCUGGAGCUGUACCUGCCAAGGGGAGUGGCUGGGGCUGUGGACCUGCUGGCAUUGUUGAACACAGCUGUGCACAAGGCGCUGAGAGGCGGAGAGGACAACUGAAGAGAAGUGAUGAUGAGAUCAUGAAGAGAAUUCCCUCUCACUGGAGAUUAAAGGUUUCUGUGUGAGGUUAACAACAUGACUAAAAUGAAACUGUGUGCAGUAGAAGUGCUGCUCUGUGCUCACUUUGUUGCACGUAACACAAUGGUGGAGAUUAGACCAAUGUGUGCAUUGUUUAAAGACAGAAUCUGAUGGUUUUAAAGCAUGUAGUGUAUAUAAUAGAACCUGUGCACUUUUUUUUUUUUUUUUUUUUUUUCUCAUUAGAAUGAUCACAUAUUUUAGUAGAACUGGAAGAAAUUAUGGUCUACAUACUAUAAGAAAACUUAAGGCUUUUUUUUGGCAAGUCAGAGUUGAUGGAUCCAUGUUCAGUUUACUUUGAGAUAGGGUGACCUUGGGUUAGUUUUGUUUUUCUUUUAAUCUUUUAUUAGUUAUUCAAAAUAGCAGUUAUUAAACUCUAUGCUCCAGUGCUAAAAUAAUUUCAGAUUGAAUUUUAAAUGCAUAAGUUCAAUAUACAUUUACACACUAAUAGAUGUUGUUCUUGAUAAUCUGUAUAUGCUGUGCUUUAGAAAUGCAUGUUGAAUAAAGUUUCAUUUAAAAAUAUUUCUAAUAGAACAAACAAUGCAAAGAAUGGCCAUUACAAAUGGAUAUAUUUCUUUAUUCAGAAUAAUCAGAAUCAGACAUAUUUCUGUGUGUAUGAGACUUCAGUAGUGGGAGUGGCAAGUUUGCCAAACAAAAUGCAAAUUAGCAAUCGGUCAUCACUGUGUAUCCACUAAGUCAGAACAUGCAUAAGGCCCUGGGCUUCUUGAUGGCUAAUAUGCAAGCAUGCAGGAUAUAAUGACCUUGCAUAAUACACACUUUUAAAGUUAAACAUGCAUACAAAAUAUCUUCAAAAUAUCUAUAAAUUUAGUUAUAUUUUAAAGUGCAGUACAUACCAGCAGAAAAACAACAAAACAAAUUCUGAAAAACAGUAGCAUUGAUUCUAAUACCACAAGAAAAGUUUUUCAUUGGCCCUUUGUUAGUAAUAUCUGAAAAAUAAUUGAUUUGCCUUAUUUAAGGUCCAACAUUUAUGAGUUUCUUUUCUUUCCUCGAUGUUACAGUUUCCAAUUUCCUUGUUUUCCAUGUGGAAAAGCAGAAUGAACAGGAAGCAUUGAAACUAUUUUAUAGUUUCCUUGUUAUCACUUUUUCUGCUUUUCUAGAUCUAAAUCAGGAGAAUUAUUGUUAUUAUUGAGCAGCUGCCUGGUUUGAGAUCUCGAUUGUACUGUGCAAGAUGAUGAACCAAAAGCACAUUUCCGAUUCAUGGGAACUACAGCAGUGUGUUACUGCGGUUUGAUUUAAUUUGACAAAAAUAAUCGUAAAAGGGGAUUGAUGUUUAAAUCUAAUCUGCUUUUACCCAGAAAUUUCCUGUACUUGCAGAGCAAUCCAAGCACAUCUGGUUGUAGACCACUCCAACACAGCUGUUUUCUUCUCACAACAGUGUACUCAUCAUUCAAGAUAUCAUGAACAACUGAGGGCAAACCGCCGCUCUGGAUCAUGUUGAAACAAAUCUACCAACACACUGUUAAACUCUUGUCUUCAUAUGUUCAUUAUUGACUUCUGUCCACAUUCAAUUUUUAUGGACCCACUUUUUGAAUCUUUGUCACAGAGAUACUGUGGGGUAUUCCAUUCAGGACCUGGGUGUUAAGAAACUAAAUAAAGAGAAAAAACAGAGAUUAAACAUCUGAAUUUUUAAGACAUGCUUUGUUUGUGUAAAAUUACUGAUAAGUCAAGAAUGUACAAAGCAAACUGUCAGAUAUAACCCUACCUGUUCAAGAAGCGCAAUAAUGGUUGCAUUGCUAACCUCUCCGUAUGUAGUCAACCUCAUCUUUAGAUGUGCCAGUGCUUGUGGGCCUGUAGGAAAUGAAAAAGUGAUUAUAAUAGUUUCAUUGGUAAGUUUCAAGGCAUAUGAAGUCAUAAGAAAUGUUUCAUUAUUGCUACAGUAAAAGUUUAGGCACAUUUCCCUUGAUGCUGAAACAAUUAAACAAUAACAUUUUAGUACCCUGCACAUUGCUUUGUAGUCAUAAGUCGCUAGGAAUUUUGUAUUUUACAAGACAUGUAUUUACGAUUUAAGUGUGAAUCAUAGUACUUAGCAUAAGCUCAUUCAGAUAAAUUUUAGUUAUAUAGUGCCAAAUCUCAAUAACAGUCAUCUUUAUAUUUUAAGGUAAAGAGCCUACAAUGAUAAAGAGGGAACCCCCCCCCCCCCCCAAAAUCAGACAACCCCUCUGAGCAAGCACUUGGCAACAGCGGGAAAGAAAAUCUCUCUUUUAAAAGGAAGAAACCUCAGCAGAAUCAGGCUUAGGGAAGAACAGCUGUCUUGGGUGGCUCUAGCUCAAGCGGUAGAACAGGCCAUCUACUAAUCGGAAAGUUGGUAGUUCGAUCAUGGCUGCUCCACUCUACAUGUCAAAUAUCCUUCAGACAGAUAUUAACCCCAAAGUUCUCUCCAAGGCAUCCAUUAGAGUGUGAAAGUUAGAGAGAACACCUAUGUAAGUACUUACACAC
ensembl:lncRNA